rnacentral:rRNA from 1 species
GAGUUUGAUCGUGGCUCAGGACGAACGCUGGCGGCGUGCCUAAUACAUGCAAGUCGAGCGAACCAAUAAGAAGCUUGCUUUUUGUUGGUUAGCGGCGGACGGGUGAGUAACACGUGGGUAACCUGCCUGUAAGAUCGGGAUAACUCCGGGAAACCGGUGCUAAUACCGGAUAGAUUAUCUUUCCGCCUGGAGAGAUAAGGAAAGAUGGCUUUUGCCAUCACUUACAGAUGGGCCCGCGGCGCAUUAGCUAGUUGGUGAGGUAAUGGCUCACCAAGGCGACGAUGCGUAGCCGACCUGAGAGGGUGA